rnacentral:tRNA from 1 species
UCGUAGCUGGUGAAGGCGUUGUCGCGGCCGCCGUUGCGGGCGACGGUGGCCGAGAACUCGCCGUCGUCGAGGGUUUCGGUGCCUUUGAA